rnacentral:misc_RNA from 1 species
AGUCCGUUAAGCACAAAAGCUACAAAAAUUAUCCACAGAUGUUAACCAAAAGCAAAAGAAGGAACUAAUGCAUCAAUGAUCCAUCAGAUAUUCAACACAUAUCUUCCUGCCUCUUAUGUAAUGCUAACAUAUGAGGGCACAGCAUUGAAAAUUCCUAGAAAUUUGAUAAAAACUUGAAGAUGCAUCUAAUAACAUGAGUCAAAUUAUAUUGCCAUACUAUACAACUACUAAUUGCGACAAUGUCAUAGUGUUUGUAUGAAUUUCAACAUGCACAAUAGUUGUUUGGCAUCAAAUAUCAUAUUGUUUGAUCUAUAUUUUCCUAAAUUUUCUUCUCUGCCAAUAAUUUAAGAUGUAACAAUCAAAGAUGGAAAACUGGAAAUAAUUCCAAGAGAAAACAGAUAGUGAGCAAAUGUGUGCAAUUUUACCGCUCCUUUGUCUAAAUGCCGAGAAAGUGAAGGAAAAUAAGAGCCGAAACCUCACGAAUUCAGCUUUUUUCCUUCAGUAAUCAACUUUAGCAGGAAUAUUCAGUCGAGUUGAAGUGAUUCACUUCCUUUAUCAAAAAAUCAACACGAAUAAACAGCUAAAAAGGAAAAAUCCGACAUCAAAACUUUGAAUCUCGGUUUGCGGAAACUCUUUUUUCCUUCUGGUUUUCUCAGGAACCAAAC